rnacentral:rRNA from 1 species
CCCUAGUAUUAAAAAUGAAUUUAAUUAGUAUAAGAAGAAAUUUAAAAAUUUUGGCGGUUGGUGAUUAAUUAGAGGAGCUUGUAUUUUAAAUAGAAUUAACUCUUUAUAUUUAAAUAGUAAUUUAUUUAUUCAUCUCCGUUAUUAAAUAAUAAAUUAUAAAAAUUAGAAUUAAUUAUAUUUCAGGUCAAGAUGUAGUAUUUAUUAUAUUAUAUUAGCUACAUUUAUGAAAUUUUGGAUUAUUUGUAGGGUAUUAUUAUUAGAUAAGAAAUUGAAUUUAAUUGUAAUUAUAUUUAUAAUGGUAUAAUGAAUGGAAAUGAUUAAUGUAUAUAUUGCCCGUCACUUCUAUUUAAAAAG